UAUACACCGAGCAAGUGGUUCACUAAAGCGUGUGUUGGUCUUUUUCAGGUCUUCUCAUUUAACUUCAACCUUAUUGCAACACAUGAAGGAAAGGAUAGCAAUGCUCUGAAUAAGACGUGUUCUCCCUCUCUCCCCUGGUCUCCCAGAGAAGUUACCUUUGAGGAAAACCACAUGGAGCAAGAAGUUGCAUGCCCUGAAGAAUCCAGCAGGGUCCGGCAAUAAUAUUGACAGGGUCACAAUACUGUGUACAUAACCUCUGGUUGGACUGUUUCUCCUCUUUUCAGUAUUUAUGUUUGAGUUUGACACAGAUGGUGUUUGCAGUAUUGUGCAUUCUGCAAACUCCAAUGAAGUGAAAAGGCACAGCGACAACAAGGAGAGGACAAGAGCACAAAUACUGAAGUGGUUCGCUAACAAGAUGGGGGAUCAAGGCAACGGUGGAUAGAGGACAAGAGGAAAUUGUGUGCCUGAGCAAGAACAGAAGGACGCUGACGAUAUUCAUGACUAAGAACUCUCACAUCAUCAUUUAUGCGAGACAGGAUUACAACACAUGAUGCUAAUCUGAUUUCGGCACAUCACCGGCUGUCAGAUUAUACUAUUGGCACCAUUGAAUUUUGAUGAAUGUAUGGAUUGUUUUUUAUCCGUCAUAUUUACAUCAAAGUCUUUAUGUAGAAUGGCUUCAUACCCCUUGGAAAAAAAUGUCAAAAUAAAAACGCAUCUCUACAAAGUGACAUGCA